rnacentral:rRNA from 1 species
AGAGUUUGAUCCUGGCUCAGGAUAAACGCUGGCGGCGCACAUAAGACAUGCAAGUCGAACGAACUUAAUACCUUGCUUGCAAGGUAAGCGGUUAGUGGCGGACUGGUGAGUAACACGUAAGAAACCUGCCUAUUAGAGAGGAAUACCAGUGAGAAAUCACUGCUAAUACCUCAUAUGCCUUAAUUAUCGCAUGAUAAUAGAGGGAAAGGAGCAAUCCACUAAUAGAUGGUCUUGCGUCUGAUUAACUAGUUGGUGAGAUAAAAGCCCACCAAGGUGACGAUCAGUAGCCGAACUGAGAGGUUGAACGGCCACAUUGGGACUGAGAUACGGCCCAGACUCCUACGGGAGGCAGCAGUCGGGAAUAUUGCGCAAUGGAGGAAACUCUGACGCAGUGACGCCGCGUAUAGGAAGAAGGUUUUCGGAUUGUAAACUAUUGUCGGUAGGGAAGAUAAAAGACUGUACCUAUCAAGAAAGCUCCGGCUAACUACGUG